AUGCCUGAGGAAAUCCAGACCCAAGACUAGCCGAUGGAGGAGGAUGAGGUGGAGACAUUCUCCUUUCAGGCGGAGAUCGCCCAGUUGAUGUCCCUGAUCAUCAAUACCUUCAACUCGAAUAAGGAAAUAUUUCUCAGAGAGCUGAUUUCCAACUCGUCGGAUGCUUUGGACAAAAUCAGACAUGAAGGCUUGACCGAUCCCAGUAAGCUAGACUCUGGGAAAGAGCUGCAUAUUAACCUCAUUCCGAACAAGCAAGAUCGAACCCUCACCAUCGUGGAUACCGGCAUUGGCAUGACCAAGGCCGAUUUGAUCAAUAACCUUGGUACUAUUGCCAAGUCUGGGACCAAAGCAUUCAUGGAAGCUUUGCAGGCUGGUGAAGAUAUUUCUAUGAUUGGACAGUUUGUUGUCGGGUUCUAUUCUGCCUACUUGGUUGCCGAGAAAGUGAUGGUGAUCACCAGGCAUAACGAUGAUGAGCAGUAUGCCUGGGAGUCUUCUGCAGGAGGAUAGUUCACAGUUAGGACUGAUACAGGUGAACCUAUGGAUCGGGGAACAAAGUUAUCCUGCAUCUGAAAGAUGACCAGAUGGAGUACUUGGAGGAAAGGAGAAUAAAAGAGAUUGUGAAGAAGCACUCCCAGUUUAUUGGCUAGCCCAUUACUCUCUUUGUGGAGAAGGAACAUGAUAAAGAGGUCAGUGAUGAUGAAGCUGAAGAAAAGGAAGAGAAAGAGGAGGAAAAAGAAAAGAAAGAGAAGGAGUCUGAUGGAAAUAGAAGAUGUUGGUUCUGAUGAGGAGGAGGAGAAGAAGGAUGAUGACAAGAAGAAGAAAAAGAAGAUCAAGGAGAAGUACUUUGAUCAAGAAGAACUGAACAAGACAAAACUUAUUUGGACCAGAAACCCUGAUGAUAUCACCAAUGAAGAAUAUGGAGAAUUUUAUAAGAGCUUGACCAAUGACUGGGAAGAUCACUUGGCAGUGAAGCAUUUUUCAGUGGAAGGACAGUUGGAGUUCAGAGCUCUUCUCUUUGUGCCAAGACGUGCUCCCUUUGACCUAUUCGAGAACAGAAAGAAAAAGAACAACAUUAUGUUGUAUGUUCGCAGAAUUUUCAUCAUGGAUAACUGUGAGGAGCUAAUCCCUGAGUAUCUGAAUUUCAUUAGAGGUGUGGUAGACUCUGAGGAUCUUCCUCUAAAUAUUUCCCGUGAGAUGCUGCAGCAAAGCAAAAUUUUAAAAGUUAUCAGAAAGAACUUGGUCAAAAAGUGCUUGGAACUCUUCACCAAACUGGCUGAAGACAAAGAGAACUACAAGAAGUUUUGUGAGCAAUUUUCGAAAAACAUCAAGCUGGGAAUACAUGAAGACUCUCAGAAUCGAAAGAAGCUCUCAGAGCUGUUACGAUACUAUAUGUCUGCUUCUGGUGAUGAGAUGAUUUCUCUCAAGGACUAUUGCACCAGAAUGAAGGAAAACCAGAAACACAUCUAUUACAUCACAGGUGAGACCAAGGAUCAGGUAGCGAACUCGGCCUUCCUGGAGCGUCUUUGGAAGCAUGGCCUGGAAGUGAUCUAGAUGAUCGAGACCAUCGAUGAGUACUGUGUCCAAUAGCUGAAGGAAUUUGAGGGGAAGACGUUAGUGUCUGUUACCAAAGAGGGCUUGGAACUUCCAGAAGAUGAAAAAGAGAAAAAGAAACAGGAAGAGAAAAAAACAAAAUCUGAAAACCUGUGCAAGAUCAUGAAGGACAUCUUGGAGAAAAAAAUAGAAAAGGUGGUCGUGUCAAACCUAUUGGUGACCUCCCCAUGCUGCAUUGUCACAAACACAUACAGCUGGACAGCAAAUAUGGAGAGGAUCAUGAAGCCCUAAGCCUUGAGAGACAACUCCACCAUGGGCUACAUGGCCGCGAAGAAGCACCUGGAGAUAAACCCCGACCACUCCAUCAUUGAGACCAUACGGCAGAAGGCAGAGGCCGACAAGAACGACAAGUCUGUGAAAGAUCUGGUCAUCCUGCUCUACGAAACUGCUCUCCUGCCCUCUGGCUUCAGUUUGGAAGAUCCCCAGACACAUGCUAACCAGAUGUACAGGAUGAUCAAGCUUGGUCUUGGUAGUGACGAAGACAAUCCCACCGUGGACGAUAGCAGUGCCCCGUGAGCGAAGAGAUGCUGCCCCUCAAGGGUGACGAUGACACGUCCUGCAUGGAGGAAGUCGACUAA